rnacentral:lncRNA from 13 species
AAAACUUUGCCUGUGACUGAGAACCACUAGCACGUCUGAUUAAGCUUAGCUGUUCCACAGCCUCUGCCAUAGAAAAAUAUGGGGAGCAUGGCUUUAUCGGUGGUUACAUCUUUACAAUGCAGAAAAAAACAAAUCUCUAACCAAAACGGCUCAAAACUAAUGACCUAUUCCCCAAGAGCUACAUUUUUGUAAAUUUCUAGCACGGAGUCACGAGGCACUCUUGGAUACACACAAAUUAACCCUAUUUAUCUAUAAGAAAAGCAUUUGUUACAGAAAAUAGCAGUUUGGGUGAAAUGGACGUCAUUUCCACUAAAAUCGAUUAAUAGGGAUAUUUUAGGUGUGCCACAGAAUUUGUCUCACCUCAAGGUAUGCCCCGGUUCAGAAAAAGUUGAGAACCACUGCUCUAGGUAGACACUUGGUGUAGACAGGACAACAUGGUGGUAGCUCCGCCUUUCUCUCCGAUAGGCUAGGUGGAAUAUUAGCCACAUUGCUCACACCCAUCCACUCCGUUCAGGUCUACACAAGUGCCUAGAGGAUAGGGACUACGGGUUGUUUCUGAAUUGGGCCCACAGACAGGUGAUGCUGGAAGAUCCAGAGGUAACAGGACGGGGGUGUUAUAGUGCACAAUCUGGAGAAAAGGGAGGCACAACCCAGUUAUAGUAAAGUGAUCCCUGGUUGGUCAGCCUGAGAAAGUCACCCAUGUGACCAUCUCCCCCAUCACAGAAAAUUACCCAUUAGGACCCUGGUAAGCCGGAGUGUCACACUUCUACUAAACCACCCAUCCCAACAAUUAGAUCCAGCCUCUUUCUCAGCUUGCUCCUCUUCCCGAGUCAACUUCCUCUCACAGCAGCGUCAUGGCAGGCCAGUCACGUACGGCUUGUGGCGACGGCCAUGGAUGUCACUCUGCCUCAGCAUCCUUGGGUCCAGCGUCAGUCUCUACCUUCACUACUGCCUCAGACUCUGCCACAGCCUCAGCAUUCCCCACCUCAGCCUCGGUUUCAGCCUUAAUCUCCACCACCACCACCUCUGCUUCAUCCACUGCCAACCCCACCGCAGCCUCGGUUUCAGCCAUAACCUCCACCUCAGCCUCUACCUCGGUUUCAGCCUUAAUCUCCACCACCACCACCACCUCUGCUUCAUCCUCUGUCAUCCCCACCUCAGACUCGGUUUCAGCCUUAACCCCCACCAACUCUACCAUCACCACCCCAGCUUCAGACUUAAACUCUACUUCCUCUGCCUUGGUUUCAGCCUUAACCUCCACCUCAGCCUCUAUCUCUGCCUCAGUUUCACCCUUAACCUCCACUACCUCAGUCUUGAUUUCUACUUCCACCACCACCUCAGUCUCAGUCUUACCUUCCACCUCUGCUUCAUCUUCCACCACCACCUCAGCUUCCACUAGAGCUUCUACCUCAGUUGCUGGUUCAGCCACCACUACCUCGGUCUCUACCAAUGUUUCUGGUGGUUCCUCAGUCUCUGGUUCUGCCUCUACUAACAUCUCUGGUGGUGCCUCUGCUUCGGCCUCUUCCUGUGGUUCUGUAUCUGCUGCUACCUCUACCUCUGGCUCUGCCUCUACUAAUGUUGCUGGUGGUGCCUCUGCUUCUAGUUCUGGUUGUGGUUGGCUGUUCUUCCUGCAGAUACCUGGAGAGAGAGAGAGAGAGAGAGAGAGAGAGAGAGAGAGAGAGAGAGAGUGUGAGUAUGAUUGGGUUAGCAUGGAAGUGUCUCAGAGGCUCUUGUCAAUGCUUAUGCAGAUGCAUUCAGAGAUGUGUGCAUGACCAGUUAGCAGUGGAAAUCUAUUUUCGUUGCUCUCAUUAAGUGUAGUUAGCUGCACACCCAUGCUAAAUUAAAACAUGGAUGUUCCCUGAGUAAUGCAAUUAGAUAAAAUACAUCUCAAUUAAGCAGGAGGCUAAAUCUAUUUGCCAUAAUUGGUGGGGAGCUCUCAUCAUGUCUACCCAAAUCAAAAUCUUAGUGUUUAGAAUUUUGCUGCAGCUCAGGAAAGACCUACUGUUGGACUGUUGGUGGCAUCUCUGUGUGUACCUCUUUAAAAUGUCUCAUGCAAUCUUUUUAGCUCAGAGAUGUGAGGUUUUGCCUUGCUGUUGAAUACCAUGUACACACGUUAUACUUAAGCAAUUAGGCCCGAGGGGGUGUUAUAUGGCCAAUAUACCACAGUUAAGGGCUGUUCUUAUGCACGGCCCAAUGUGGAGUGCCUGGAUACAGUCUUUAGAUGUGGUAUUAUGGCCAUAUACCACAAACACCAAUGGUGCCUUAUUUCUAUUAUAAACUAAUGUAAUUAGAGCCGUAAAAAUACAUGUUUUGUCAUACCCGUGGUAUAUGGUCUGUUAUACCAUGGCAUAUUGAAUACUUGUUUCUGUUUGCCUUGAACGGCAUUCUAGAGUGUGAAUCAUCUCCCUAUAACGCACAGUGUAUUAUGCACGGUAGAAUUCAAUGGCGAUAGUUAGUUCUUACAUGAUCUACGUUUGAGCUUCUUUUGAAAGCAAGUCAAAUUGAAAACAUGAGUGGCUUUGUUGAAUUGUAUUUUCAUAAUGGCAAGCUAGGACAGAUGGUUUGGUUAGCUAAACGAGCAAGUAUGUUUGUUUGCUUGUUACCUAUAUCUAGUAAACUUCCAAGCUACUACUUCAGUGGAUGUUGAAAACAUCUAUUGGCAGAUUAACACCUUUCUAGCGGCAAAUGUGUUCAAUUUUAGCCAUGGUAUAAAAGGGAUAAACAACUUGGCGCUCUAUACAUUCUCUCAAAUAUAAUUCAAAUCCGUGGUAGGUCAGUUCAGAACACACCAAUGUCAUUCAUCAUUUUUUCCCAUGGAACGCAUAGCCCCUCGUUGAUUAUCGCUUACAUAUACCACGGCUGGCAGCCAAUCAGCAUUCUGGGCUCGAACCACCCAGUUUGUAGUUCCCAACAUUAAACCCAGCACAUUGGACGUGUUAAUAUUUACCACACUUCCCCAAGCAGAUCAUUAAUAUGCAGUGUUUGACAUCUAGAUAUAGAGCGGCAGCAGUCAAAACAACACCUGCACAACUCCGUCAUCUCUGACAGGCUGAAAACAGGGGGUUGUGUGUAUUAGGGGAUGCAACAGAACAUUUGUGUCAUGUUUUGCAAUAGAAAAUGUGCAUUUCUUAUUAAACAAGUCCAGGUGUUGUGGCUUUUCUGACACAGUUUGCUCAGAAAAGCUCUGUGGGCAGACUUCAAAUACAGAUCUUAAUAGGAGAAGUAUGUAGAGAGAGAAUUCUGCUUUGUGUUAGAUUCUAGACCUCAGCAACAUAGGUUACUUCUUGCCAUUCGAGAUGAAUCACAAUGUUUACUGAUACAGCUCUCCAAAUAAUACCAAGGACCAAAUAAAACUAGCUUAAAUAUUAACAUGAACAUAACGAUGAGACACCAGCUAAACAAACUCAAGGUGUAGAGUCUGGGUAAAGGCAGAAAUGUUUUGACAAUCUGAUUAAGUGUGCCAGGCAAGUUAAAGAAAAUGACUAUUUGAACCCAUGUCCGGAUGGGUGUAGCAGGGGGUGAAUGUGUUGACAUGUAGAGAUGAGUCUCUCUGAUGGAUAGAGGCUGGGAUCAGACAGUGGGGCUGGAGGGAAAGAGGGAUGGAGGAGAGCAGGAAAAGAGAGAUGGAGGAAAUGAGAGAAAGAGGGAUGAGGAGAGGAGGGAAUGAGAGAUGGAGGGGAGGGGAAGUAGCAGAAAAGCGAUCCAUCAGGGAGGAGAAGUAGUAGAAAAGCGAUCUAUCAGGGAGGAGACAGAAAGAGAGGAGAGGGUGGGGCAUGGAGAGAUAAAUGGUAGGGCCUGCUACUCGGUCAUCACAUCACAUCACAUGCCUUCAUGACACAGGCACGAAAACACACACACUAAAGGAACAUUCUCACUCAGGCUAGAACACAUUUGUACACAGCACAAAAACAGACACACGCUUAACCACAAGCUUGAUUAUGUGUGAGCAAGCAAACCCUGUGUAUUCCAUAUAGCAUGGUCCCCCUCAUCAGUACCUUCCCCCAGCAUGUUCCAAUACCCCAGAGAGAAACCACAGUCACAUUCCACAGCCUACCGCCUCAGACAACCCAGAUUAGACCUGGGUUAAGAACAUGAGUCAAAUACUUACACAUUUGAGGU